UGGGGAAUAUUGGACAAUGGGCGCAAGCCUGAUCCAGCCAUGCCGCGUGAGUGAUGAAGGCCUUAGGGUUGUAAAGCUCUUUUAGCAGGGAAGAUAAUGACGGUACCUGCAGAAAAAGCCCCGGCUAACUUCGUGCCAGCAGCCGCGGUAAUACGAAGGGGGCUAGCGUUGCUCGGAAUUACUGGGCGUAAAGCGCACGUAGGCGGACUCUUAAGUCGGUGGUGAAAUCCUGUAACUCAACUCCAGAACUGCCUUCGAUACUGGGAGUCUUGAGUUCGGGAGAGGUGAGUCGAACUGCGAGUGUAGAGGUGAAAUUCGUAGAUAUUCGCAAGAACACCAGUGGCGAAGGCGGCUCACUGGCCCGAUACUGACGCUGAGGUGCGAAAGCGUGGGGAGCAAACA
rnacentral:rRNA from 1 species